rnacentral:rRNA from 1 species
UACGGGGGGGGUGAAGCGUUGUUCGGAAUUACUGGGCGUAAAGGGCUCGUAGGCGGCCAACUAAGUCGGACGUGAAAUCCCGUCAGCUUAACUGGGAACUGCGUCCGAUACUGGAUGGCUUGGAUUUGGGAGAGGGAUGCGGAAUUCCAGGUGUAGCGGUGAAAUGACGUAGAUAUCUGGAGGAACACCGGUGGCGAAGGCGGCAUCCUGGACCAAUAUUGACGCUGAGGAGCGAAAAGCUAGGGGAGCAAACGGGG